rnacentral:tRNA from 2 species
GCCCCGUUAGCUCAUCCGGUAGAGCGCUGGCUUUGUAACCCAGAGGUGGUCCGUUCAAGUCGGACACGGGGCACCA